GCCUUCCUCUCAGGGUCCCCAUCCUCUGUGCAGGCACAGAGCGGGUGUCAGGGAGCAAGUCUCUCAUUCAUUCAUUCCUUAAAUAUUACUUGUGCAUUAGUUGUGCAUCUAUUAUGUGCUAAGCACUGUGCAGGGCACUUGGGGUUCGCAGAGUUGAGUGGAACCAGACAUGAUCUCUGCUCUCAUGGAGCUCCCUGUGUUGUAGGGGACACAGACUUUGUUUUUUUUUCUUUUGAGACAGGCUCUGGUUCCAUCACUCAGGCUGGAGUGCAGUAACAUAAUCACAGCUCACUGCAGCCUCAAGCUCCCAGGCUCAAGCAAUCCUCCCACCUCAGCUGCCCAAGCAGCUGAGACUACCGAGGUGUGCUACCACAGCUGGCUAAUGUUUUUUUGUUUUUUUGUAGAGACAGGGUCCCACUAUGUUGCCCAGGAUGGUCUUGAACUCCUUGCCCCCGGGCAAUAUUCCUGCCUCAGCCUCCCAAAGUGUUGGGUUUACAGGUAUGAGCCACUGUGCCCAUCCUGGAUGCAAACUUUAAGCAAAGAGUCACAUCAACAAGAAGAGCUGUGAAGGUCCGGGCAUGACUCACAGAUGCCCAAACACUGCACUGGAGGUCAAGGAAGAUUCUCCUGACAAGGCAACCCUGAGCCAAGAUCUGAAGGAUAAGAGGGAGCUUAUAACAUGGAAGAAGGAACAGUAUUCCUGGCAGGUGGAACAGCAUGUGCAAAGGCCAGGUGAUGAGGACAUGGGCCCAGAGAGGUUAUGUGAGUGACACAGCUUGAAGGUGGAGUUAAGCCUGGGCAGUCUGGCUUCAGAGUGUCCACAGUCUCAACCACUGCCUCACAUGGCUUCUUAGAAAAUAUUAUAAAAAGAAGCUCGAGCUGCCAUGUGGAAAAGAAUGGAGAGGGGACAACGACACAGCUGGGAGCAUGCUAUGAUGGUGUACAGUGGACACAUUCAGGAUGAGUCUUCUAAAGCUGCAGGCCAUACUACCCCCAGGAGGCUGCAGGGAUGCCAGCCGGGAGAUGAAUGCAACUCUGCUGCCUGGGCAUUCGCCUGAGUGAGGGUGCAGACCCCUGCCUGUGAUCAUCAGGGAGGGUGAUGAGAACAAGGUGGCUGACAGGGUGAGGCCCAAGCCUGGAGCUUACCCAGGUGCGGGGAUGGGAGGGUCAGAGACCUUUGGGGGGACUUAGGGAGCUUCCCUGGCCCUAAGGGCACCGCAAGCUGCCACUUCACACUGACCUGGGCAUACGCAGCUGCAGGAUCCCUUGCUCGCUCUCUCACAAGCAAAUGUAGACUGCACAACCAUCCUGACCACAGAUCCAGAAAGCCCAGGACAUAACAGAGCCGCAGUGCCUGCCCUGAUCCACGUGGACACAGAUCUAGCCCAGGAACAAGCCCAUCCACGGAGUGAGCAGCUGACAGGGGAGCCACGAACAGCCUGGAGAGCUGAGCAUGGGCCUGCUCCACACUCCAGCGGGGCCCGAGGCCCCCGGGAACUCUACCCCUCCUGGCAGCCUCACAGAACCUGCUGCAUCCAUCUCAAAAGGCAUACCUCCUCCAGGAAGCCUUCCCCGCUGCUCAGAGGUCUUAAAUCCAGGGUCUGCACUCACAAACCGUGCAGCCUACACCAGCUUCUGGGGGACAGCAGAAUACUGUGGGGGGCCUGGCACAUGGUAGGCACUCAUCGAGCCCCUGCCAGCCCCUCUACUCCUGACUUCUGAGGCAACAGGAAAUGACCCGCCACCUUGUUCUCACAGAGCCUCCCUGCCAGCCCAGAUGGUCACAAGGGCCUCCUGGGAUGCUGCCCACCUUGGCAGCCAGGCCCCUCCGGAGGGGCCAGUCUGGGCCUGACACCCCCGAACACCAACCCCCUGGGCAGAGCCUCCCUGUGCCUGGGUGAGGAACCCUGCAUUCUCCUUGCCACACAAGGCCUGGGUCUGCCUUGGGGUCCAGGCUGCACCCUCUCCGACCCCCAGGCCCAAUGCCUGACCUG